UCAAGGCGUAAAGUCGUUUAAAAAUCAUUCUGGAAUAUUUUCAUAUCAUAGGUUACAUCGUAGAUACGUAUAAAAAUAAUAAAAAUGCAGUUGUUGUAUGAACGGUUGACGCAUAUGAUCUAGUCAUUAAAAUGCAACGGACAAAAAGUUAGUCGACUGGUCUUGACGUACGAAGAUACUCUGAUAAAUUAUGAAAAACAUGGUUCUUUUACAUAAUUCAUUAUGACCGCUCCAUUCAUUAUGUAGAGGAUACAAGACUGUCGUCGGUGGAUAUAGAACACAUCAAGUAUUAUAGAGGAUUGACGUUAUGUCGGCGAAUGAAGAUUAAAUUGGUAUUUAAAACCUGAGAAGUGGAUUGGAGCAUUGACCAGGGUCUAUGAACUGAACGUGCAGAGCAGAAUCCACCCACCUAACUGCAGGAACACAUUGUCUAUACAGCUAGUAUAUCAUACGAACAUCGAUCCGUGAGAGCGGUCUCAUGGCUCCCAGCAAAGUACAAAUCUCUACGCCCUAAAACGACUGCCACGUGUUACACUGUGUUCUGUUUUUCCUCAGCCCUCUGUCGCUACAAAUACCACGAAAUUUAAUCACAUUCGAGGGAUUAAUCGAUCGGAUUAAUUCGAGGCAAUCGUGUAAACAGAUCACGCGCGUUCUGCGCAACUUCCCGCUUCCAAACUUCCAAUAAAUUCAGAAAAAUCUGCAAUCCAGAGAUGCCCUGAUCAGGAUUACCGCGAAUGUUUAUAAAGCCCGUAUUUUACGAGCGUUAUUAGCAACCAGGAUGGUACGAAUUGCGGCGACUGUCGGUGGUUUUACCGUAAAUAUAGAGGGAGGCGAAGGACAGCCAAAAGAGAAAAGAUGGAGGAGACAAAGAGAGGAAAAGAAAGAGGAAGCGCGCUACGAAAUGGUGGAGGGAAAGAAAACCAAUUAGAAAUAUAAGAAAAAAAGUGAAAAACUCGGUGGAAAGGGAUCGAAUAAGAGGUGGGGAAACGAAGGGUUGAAAAAGAAGAAUUUCAAGAGGCACGGAUAAACGGAGAAGGAGAGAACCAGAGGACGGAGAAAAACAAGAGACGAAUAUAGAGAUCGAGAUGUGGAGAAAGAUAGAGACAAGUUCCUACUAUCCUUCUCGUUUUAUCCCUCUCCUCUGCCUCCUGAACCCCGUGGCAGAAACGUGGGCGUGGACGUAGGCGAGGUAAGCCUUCAGGGCCGGCGAACAUCGACCGAUCCAACUGGACGCAUCGUAAAUCGUGACCAGCCUCGUGAUUCUCCAACAACAAUGAUAGACACAUCCAUAUACGACUUUUUAGUGGACAAUUUUCGAACGUUGCGUCGGUCGAAUCGAGAAAAAAGAACACGACCCUGUCAACAUUAGGAGAAGCAGCGAAUUGCAUAAUUAAGGUAGCUUUUAGGAAACGAAGUAGUACAAGUCAGUGCUUUGGGCGUGUAAUUUUGGCUUAACGUAUCUCUUCGAUUUACAAGGAAUCGUCGUCUGAAUAUCGAUAUUCGAGAUGCAUAAUUCUAUUUAAUAGACUUGAACGAUGUUAAUUGUAUUUUUUUCUUUUUUUCAAUCAUCGAUCUGUAUAAUUUCAUCGAUCUAACGAAAUACAAAGAAAUAAACGCGAUUCCAGCAAAAGUUAUUUCUCAUUACAAACGGAAAGAAAGCAAAACUAAUUGACGAGCAAAUAUCGAAGAUAAAUCAAAGAGACGCGAAUUAAACGAGAUAAGUAAUGUAAAAAAAAGAAGAAAUUAAGAGAAAAGUGAUCAAUUAUCUGGCAGGAAUACGUCAGUAAUAGAGAAAAUCCCGCGAAAAUGUAAUCGAAAGACAUUGAUAAUUUGCCACUCGAUUGCGACCGGGGAAAAAAAAAGUGACGGACGUUUUUAUCGGUAAUGCGUUUUAAACGAUGCAAGAACGAGGCGAGGUAAAACGCAAAUCGAGCUAUCCACGAUCAGUGGCGUCGAAAAAACAAGCGUUCCUGGUGUCUAGGCACCGGAGAAUGCCAAACACCAGCAAAACGUUAAAACGAGCUUUGAUUUUAAUUUCCUGCAUUCUCCCUCGUUGUUGGCCCGCGGCUUUCGAAUUCCCGUUCGUACGAUCGAUGAACGUUCGUGUCGUCACAUGAGAACCCUCCUUUAAUACCUCUCCCUCUCAUUAAAGCCGUCCGCUCAACGCACGCGGAGAGUAGCAUCCUAAUGCUAUUUACACAAGUGCUCCGCCGGAGCGAAAGGGCGUUCGAAACUGUUCCUCCGCGUUGUGACGCCGUGCCAGCGUGUUACAAUAAAAUAUCCAUUUGCUUUGAGCCGUAUCUAACCGCCGUUAACUGCAAAACGUAUAUUCGAUUCGACGGGCUUAACGUCUCUUUAGUCUCGUACACGCGAACCCGUGUUUCGUUAGCUCAUAAUCAGAUGUACACCGACGAUUCGAUGGCUCGGACAAGAUAAGUGGAAUUAAGUUUGAUCGUUCGAGUCAUCGAGAAAUUCGGCUUGUUCGCAUCGUCCGAUAAUAAACAGGAGAAGUAUGAGCGGGUCGAAACGUUCGAGUAAAGUCCGAUCGUUCGAAUCGCUGGGGAAUUCGAAUUGUUCAUGAAAAUAUGGAAAAAUUGAAGUAUAAAUUAAAGUUGAGGAGCCAAGUGAUUUCACUCGAAUUAGCUGCGCUGCUUUUUUUUUUAAACCCAACCUCGCUUACGAAUCGACGCAGAAAAAGAUAAAGAUAUUUAUAGCAUAACAUCGGAUGAUAUUACGGAGACAUAUUUAAAUUUAUUUUUAUACAUUACUAAAAAAAUAGGCAAUGCACGCCAAUAUGCAUAUCUAUGCAAAACACGACCCAUUCGUUAUUGACAGAUAUUAAAUAAUGUUUUUAUAUUUGAAAACUGUUUUUUUUAAUACGUUACUUAACCUUGCUCCAACAGCAUUCAGGUUUGAUGAUAAUUACAGUUGUAAUUAUAACCUUCACGGUUAUUAAAUCGAUUAACUAAUUGUACAUGUGAUGGUGAAUUGCAACGAUUUAAAGAAAGAUGUACAUGCGAUUUGUUAAAAUUGCGCAGUAUUUGUACAUCUGAUAUAUCAUGCGUAUAUGUUAAUUUCCCCUCGAUAUAAACCGAUUACGUUGAAGAGAGCUGUUCGAUUUUAAUACGAUAACUACGUUCGACUUUUUGCAUGAAACAAGAUUUCCAUAUCAAAUUAAUUAAUUAGUAACUAAUACAAAGAUGUUAUUUCGCACUGAUAUCCUUGGUUAUUUAUUUCUUACGUAGUAUUUGAAUCUCAAGUAAAAGUUUCUGCCAGCCAUGAAUCCUAUUAUUAUCCCGACAAUGAAGGUAAUUUUAAUGAGUACGUUAUAAUAGGAAGUAACGGAAACAAUGGGAAGA